GGUUUUUUAACAGUUAAAUAUAGUGAUUAACAUUAAAUGAGCUCUGAAUUUAUUUUCCAGUAGUUGGGGUCAAAAGAAGAGGGAAAAUUAAUCAUGGUUGUGUAUAUUAUCUCCAUGGAUGUAAAUGUUAGUGGUGUUUACAUGGAAGGUUUGUGUGUGCCAGUUACAGCCAAGAUGCCCUGUACAGGGGACAAAUAAACUCCCUUCCAACUUGCGGUACGAGACAACAAUUAUACUGCUUUACAGCCCACACAAAAAUAAUACUUAACUAGAAUAAUACCUCCCUCUCCCUGUCUCUCUGUGUCUCUCUCCCUAUCUCUCUCUUGUUCAUCGUCAUCAUCUUGAUAUACAGCAUACUUCUCUGCUUCAAAUUUCAUAACUUUUUUGUUUAGCUGUGAAGGGAUUUUUAAAAUUUUUAUCUUUUUGAACUUGAAAAAUCAAAAGAAGAAAAGGUAGGUGUUAUAUAUUGAUUUGGUUGUACAUAUUUGGGGGUUUUGCAUAUAAAUAUUGGUGAUUUAAAGUAAUGGGUUUUGGUUUUGUGAGUUUUUUUUGGGAUGGUUUGGUGGAAGGGAAGUCAUAAGAAUAAGCCCCAACCCUGAGGCUGUUGUCGGCGCGAGGUCUCUUUCUAUCGGCAUUGUCUGUAUCCAAAGAUGAUUCUCAAAUUUAUUUAUUCAAAAGUACAACCAAGAGAUUGAUUGAUUGAUUGAUUUUAUUCCUUCAUUCAUUCAUUAGUUUUCAGUUCUUAAAGCCCGUGAAAUCUUUGUGUAUCUCUGCUUCCCUUUACCUGCCUUUGUCUAUUUGACACUUGCAACUCCAAGAAUUGGUGCGGAUCAUAACUGAGUUUAUAUUACACUUUCUUGAUUUGACUGUAUUUUAAUGGUUUUAGCCGGGUUUUGGGAUUGAGAGACACUUCAUUUUUCAAUGCGGUAAUGUGGGUGAGUUUUGAUUUUGCUGAUUCUGGUAUUGGGAUCCUCUCUAAUUUUGUCAUUGGCAAAUGAAUCU
rnacentral:misc_RNA from 1 species